UGCCCCAUGGCUGAGUUGGUUACAGCGUCCGACUGUUAUCCUUACAUAAGGAAAUCAUAAUCGGAAGGUCGUGAGUUCGAGCCUCACUGGGGCAG